ACCUAGGGCUUGGAGUAGGUAAGUAAAGGGCACAGGAUUUCUUUUUGGGGAGACGAAAAUGUUCUAAAAUAGAUUGUGGUGAUGGUUGCACAACUCUAUGACUAUUAAAACCUAUUGAAUUGUGCACUUUAAAUGCGUGAGUUGUGGUAUAUGAAUUAUAUCUCAAUAAAGCUGUUACAAAAGUCAGUGGGAAAAAAUGUCGCAGGUUGGGGGGAACGGAGAGGAAAACCAGAUAAGUUUAAAAGAGACUCACUGAAAAAUCAUUCUUCACACUUACACUUGUGUUCAGUGUUUCUUUUCUUUAACUUGACCUUGUCCUCUUGGUCCCACCAGACACCUACUUUGGGCAAGGGUAUCCUCAUAUCUAACUGCCCGGACUGGAAAAAAGGUGUCAGCGUAUGACUAAAAAGAAUUCAGUGAAAUCCCAGUAAACUCUACCCCCAAUGUGGGACUGGAACUCCCCACCAGAGAUCAGGAGUUGCAUGCUGUACUGACUGAGCCAGCGAGGCACCUGUAGAAAUCAUCUUUUUCAUCAAAUGGCUUCACCAACCUCUUUAGAAUCCAGUGCACAAGACCAAGGAAGGAAUGGGCCCAGGAAUCCUUUGGAGGAAAUAUGGAGAGCAUUGGCAAUAGUUGUUAAGGUGAG